ACGAACGCUGGCGGCGUGCUUAACCCCUGCAAGUCGCACGGAAAGGCCCUGCUUUUGUGGGGUGCUCGAGUGGCGAACGGGUGAGUAACACGUGAGUAACCUGCCCUUGACUUUGGGAUAACUUCAGGAAACUGGGGCUAAUACCGGAUAGGAGCUCCUGCUGCAUGGUGGGGGUUGGAAAGUUUCGGCGGUUGGGGAUGGACUCGCGGCUUAUCAGCUUGUUGGUGGGGUAGUGGCUUACCAAGGCUUUGACGGGUAGCCGGCCUGAGAGGGUGACCGGCCACAUUGGGACUGAGAUGCGGCCCAGACUCCUACGGGAGGCAGCAGUGGGGAAUAUUGCACAAUGGGCGGAAGCCUGAUGCAGCAACGCCGCGUGCGGGAUGACGGCCUUCGGGUUGUAAACCGCUUUCGCCUGUGACGAAGCGUGAGUGACGGUAAUGGGUAAAGAAGCACCGGCUAACUACGUG
rnacentral:rRNA from 1 species